UUUCGUUAAAAGUGAAAGGUUAAACCCUGAUCUUGAAUAGCAAUAUUAUAUUUAGAUUCUAUUACUAAACAACAUGGCCAAACUCGUGAGAGAGCCACACUACACGACUUGCAGUAUUUCACUUCGUUUUGCAUAAUUAUUUUAUGAGCUUUGGAAUAUUUCAUUUUGUGCAAAAUGAUUCUGGUCCGUCCUAAGCCUGAAAUUCUCUCCACAGCAACUACAGAGCGUGCUGGAAUAGAAUAUGCAAAGUCCGCCUCUGCUGCUGAACUGGAAUAACUGCAGUUGGAAGGCAUAAAAAUACUGUGAAAAGUUCGGCCAAGCAAACAGUUCUUCCGAGUUCUCCAAUGUAGCUUAUAACUUGGCAACGAAAGCGGCAUCAAACCACCCCUUGCGACUGGCCUGCAUUACUUGGACCGUCAUAUCACUGUAACAUCUGUUGUCUCGCGUAAUGGUCUGACACACUUUACGUUUUGGUGUUUGUCACAAUGGGGCUUGAGUGUAUUGUUAGUUUAUGUAAACAUAUGGAUAACUGUUACAUGGCCUCAUUAGCUGUCUGUCACACUGUCUCACCAAUAGACAUACAUGAGCUUAUGACAAGAAAAAUGCACGUAUGUCACCUAGUUUUUCCCUCUCCGUAGCCUCGUCGUACCUU